ACCCUGCGGCGAGCGCGAACGGGUGAGAAUACAUCGGAACGUAUCCUAAAGUGGGGGAUAACGCAUCGAGAGAUGUGCUAAUACCGCAUAUACUCUGAGGAGGAAAGUAGGGGAUCGAAAGACCUUAUGCUUUUGGAGCGGCCGAUGUCUGAUUAGCUAGUUGGUAAGGUAAUGGCUUACCAAGGCAACGAUCAGUAGUUGGUCUGAGAGGACGACCAGCCACACUGGGACUGAGACACGGUCCAGACUCCUACGGGAGGCAGCAGUGGGGAAUUUUGGACAAUGGGCGCAAGCCUGAUCCAGCAAUGCCGCGUGAGUGAAGAAGGCCUUCGGGUUGUAAAGCUCUUUCAGUUGAGAAGAAAAGAUUGUAACUAAUAAUUACAAUCCGGACGGUUCACAGAAGAAGCACCGGCUAA
rnacentral:rRNA from 1 species